rnacentral:rRNA from 1 species
CCUACGGGGAGCAGCAGUGGGGGAUAUUGCACAAUGGGGGAAACCCUGAUGCAGCGACGCCGCGUGUGGGAAGACGGUCUUCUGGAUUGUAAACCACUGUCCCCAGGGACGAAAAGGACGGUACCUGGGGAGGAAGCUCCGGCUAACUACGUGCCAGCAGCCGCGGUAAUACGUGGGGAGCAAGCUGUGUCCGUAAUUACUGGGUGUAAGGGGAGCGUAGGCGGGGAUGCAAGUUGGGUGUCAAAACUACCGGCUCAACCGAUAGUCGCACUCAAAACUGCAGCUCUUGAGUGAAGUAGAGGCAGGCGGAAUUCCUAGUGUAGCGGUGAAAUACGUAGAUAUUAGGAGGAACACCAGUGGCGAAGGCGGCCUGCUGGGCUUUUACUGACGCUGAGGCUCGAAAGUGUGGGGAGCAAACAGGAUUAGAUACCCCAGUAGUC